rnacentral:sRNA from 1 species
AUGCUGGUCGGACGGGCAUGACGAGUGUUUUCUGAGGCUUCUAUAAGUAAUUGAAGAAAAACACAUUUUACGGCCUUAUGGAAGCUAUCGUGCUGAUAACUUCCGCCACUCCUGACCGCGGCAACCCACCGCUCGGCUAGUACCGGAACUGGUCCCACGGUUCCAAUGUUCCCCGCGGGGAACACUCUCCGAAUUCCCCGCGGGGAACAUUAUUCGGCAACUGACGCGCAACACAGGCGCGUCCUCUCUCU